UAUUGGGCAAUGGGCGAAAGCCUGAUCCAGCAAUACCGCGUGUGUGAAGAAGGCCUUAGGGUUGUAAAGCACUUUCAAUUGGGAGGAAAACCUGCCGGUCAAUACCCGGUAGCUUGACAUUACCUUUAGAAGAAGCACCGGCUAACUCCGUGCCAGCAGCCGCGGUAAUACGGAGGGUGCGAGCGUUAAUCGGAAUUACUGGGCGUAAAGCGUGCGUAGGCGGUUCGUUAAGUCAGAUGUGAAAGCCCUGGGCUCAACCUGGGAACUGCAUUUGAAACUGGCGGACUAGAGUUUAGUAGAGGGGAGUGGAAUUUCAGGUGUAGCGGUGAAAUGCGUAGAGAUUUGAAGGAAUACCGAUGGCGAAGGCAGCCACCUGGGUCAACACUGACGCUCAGACGAA
rnacentral:rRNA from 1 species